rnacentral:piRNA from 1 species
GCUGAACACUUAAUGGUUGCUUAUUUUCAG